GGAGCAGUGAGGACGGCAGCUGAAACAUUACAUCAGCGUUCAGAGUUCAGCUGUUCUUUCUGUAUCAGAGCAGUGCUGUAUGGGGAAUUAAUGAUUUAACAGGAAGGAAAAAGUGAACCUGCAGUGGUACCGGGACAAACUUAACAGUGCUGGAGCCAUGAUGUGGAAGGCACAUGAGAGUACAUUUUGGGGAAGCGAGGCCAAACACAUCAUUCGCAUUACGGUGCAUCUCUUUGUUCUUAUUCAACGGACAUCCCAACAGGUCUCGUAGCCCCCACACUCAUCCAGCACGGCUGCAGGGCUGUUGAAUCAACUAGAGAACUGUGUCCCGCAUUUUGUCAGCAUGCGUCUACAGACACAAAGAGCUCAGACGGAUCUCAAGAGUGACAGCUGCCACGCACGCUCUCUAAACUCAGAUCAAACUGUCUAAACCUGGCUGUGCUGAUAACACAUAAAGCAAGAAUCUGUCACUACACUGCCUAUUCAUCCCCUAACAUGCUAUAAGGAACGUUUUUUGAGUAUCACUUAGCUGAAAUAGACAAAACUGGUGAACUGGGAGUCCCCGACACUCUGGCUAUGUACUAUGAAAAAGAAGGCUGAGAAACUUUGAUGAAAACAGAACAAAAGCAGAGUGUGGAGAAAUGCUUCAGGUCUCUUGGCAGAGCGGCUUGGGAGAUGAUGGAAGGCAGGAUGACGAAAAACAGCAAGAGGCCACAGGUCCGACUCAGACGCCGGGCCUCUGCAGGGUGUGUAUACGGGUCGUACACACCAACUGAGCCGCUGAGGUGUGUCAGGUCGAUUGUCGGGGAGGGGCAAUUCAGUCAACAAAAAGAUCUUCAUUGAGUGAUUUCAUGUGCUUAAACACGCCAGUUAAAGACAUUAAAGACAAGGUAUUCAUUUUCAUGACUGAAUGAACUCAAUAAAGAAAUGGCCCAUUUCAGAGUAA